CAUUACAUACCCUUUCACUACAUUCAUAAAAAAAAUAUAGACCAAAAUACCCUGUCUUCUUCUUUCAUCCCUUUCUCCCUUUCCAUUCUCUUUUCUUUUGCAGGCAACGAACUCCGACGAGCAACCACCCGCGUCAUGCUGCAGGCCUGCAGCAGGUCCCUGCCUCCAUUUACGGUAACUGCGGCGGAGAGAGACAGACUGAGGAGAGAGAGCUCCAGUGCUUGUCGUCGCCGCCGCCACCGCUGACGAGUUGCAAAUGGUGCGGCCUGUGGGGUUCUCGCAAGUGCUCAUGGAUCGAUCUGAAUCUAAGCAGAGAUCUGAGGGGUCUCACACUUGGAAGAAAAUUUGUGUGAAAAGGAUUAUCUUGUCACGUGAAGAACGUUUCUGCUGAUUAAUCUGAAUUCAGGCGAUCGGCCACCCUGAAUGUCGUGUCCUGUGAGCAUGGAGGUCGCUACCCCACCUGCUCCACUCGAGCAGCCGCGCCGAGUUCCUGGACGCCUUGCGCCGUUGCGGGGCGCUCUCACCAGCGGCGCCGAGGAACAGACACCUUCUACAAAGCUGCAGAGCACGCCAGGCAGCAGAAACGGCAGGGAGUUCUUCCAGCGGGACGUGCGACAUCUCGUCAGAAUUUAUUGUCUGGAAGAGGAGAUAGAGGGAAGGAAGAAAGGAUGAACAGAGAAGAUGCGGAUAUUUUGGUCCAAAAAAUUUGAUAAACACAGUGAAGGGGUAUGCAGUGGCGUAUCUCAUAUAGUUGUAAAAUUACGAUGACUUCGUUACAAAUAGACAAAUUGUAAUGACAUAUUUUAAAACUGAACAAAUUCUGAUGGUACGGAUCCGAUUAACCUUAAAAAGAAACCAUACUACAUUGUGAUAGUCGGCGCAUGCAUGUUAAAAAUCAGUCUAAAAUAUGAUAGAACCAACCGAGUAAAGAAUUGUUUGUGCCUGUAGCAGUUUGGCUAUGAUUGGGGGAUUCUUUUUUUCAACAUGAGUCCCACGAUUCGAUUUAACACUACAUAUAACCUUAUCUUUUUCUUAUACUUAUGCUUAUAUUUA